GCUUUUCAGUCAUCUGGGCAUCUUGUUAAAAUGCAGAUUCUGGGGUAGGGCUUGAGAUUCUACAUUUCUAACAAGCUCCCAGAUGAUGCCAGUGCGGCU
rnacentral:pre_miRNA from 1 species